UACAGAGGUCCCAAGCGUUGUUCGGAUUCACUGGGCGUAAAGGGUGCGUAGGCGGUCGAGUAAGUCUGACGUGAAAUCUCCGGGCCUAACCCGGAAACUGCGUUGGAAACUACUUGGCUAGAGGAAUGGAGGGGAGACUGGAAUACUUGGUGUAGCAGUGAAAUGCGUAGAUAUCAAGUGGAACACCAGUGGCGAAGGCGAGUCUCUGGACAUUUCCUGACGCUGAGGCACGAAAGCCAGGGGAGCAAACGGA
rnacentral:rRNA from 1 species